rnacentral:rRNA from 1 species
AGUGAUCGCUGGCGGUAGGCCUAACACAUGCAAGUCGAACGGCAGCACAGGAGAGCUUGUUCUCUGGGUGGCGAGUGGCGGACGGGUGAGGAAUACAUCGGAAUCUACUCUGUCGUGGGGGAUAACGUAGGGAAACUUACGCUAAUACCGCAUACGACCUACGGGUGAAAGCAGGGGACCUUCGGGCCUUGCGCGAUUGAAUGAGCCGAUGUCGGAUUAGCUAGUUGGCGGGGUAAAGGCCCACCAAGGCGACGAUCCGUAGCUGGUCUGAGAGGAUGAUCAGCCACACUGGAACUGAGACACGGUCCAGACUCCUACGGGAGGCAGCAGUGGGGAAUAUUGGACAAUGGGCGCAAGCCUGAUCCAGCCAUACCGCGUGGGUGAAGAAGGCCUUCGGGUUGUAAAGCCCUUUUGUUGGGAAAGAAAUCCAGCUGGCUAAUACCCGGUUGGGAUGACGGUACCCAAAGAAUAAGCACCGGCUAACUUCGUGCCAGCAGCCGCGUAA